rnacentral:rRNA from 1 species
AACGAACGCUGGCGGCAUGCCUAACACAUGCAAGUCGAACGAGACCUUCGGGUCUAGUGGCGCACGGGUGCGUAACGCGUGGGAACCUGCCCUUAGGUUCGGAAUAACUCCCCGAAAGGGGUGCUAAUACCGGAUAAUUUCUUCGAACCAAAGAUUUAUCGCCUUUGGAUGGGCCCGCGUUGGAUUAGCUAGUUGGUAGGGUAAAAGCUUACCAAGGCGACGAUCCAUAGCUGGUCUGAGAGGAUGAUCAGCCACACUGGGACUGAGACACGGCCCAGACUCCUACGGGAGGCAGCAGUGGGGAAUAUUGGACAAUGGGCGAAAGCCUGAUCCAGCAAUGCCGCGUGAGUGAUGAAGGCCUUAGGGUUGUAAAGCUCUUUUACCCGGGAUGAUAAUGACAGUACCGGGAGAAUAAGCUCCGGCUAACUCCGUG